ACCAGUGUGGUGCAGUGGUUUGAGUGUUGGACUAUGACUAUGGAGACCAGGGUUUGAAUCCCUGCUCAGCAA
rnacentral:tRNA from 1 species